rnacentral:lncRNA from 1 species
GGCUGUGAUCCCACCUGGAUUGUUGUUUGCCCUGGGGCUUCUCAGGGCUGACUGACAGGUGGGGCCAGAUUUUCCCAAAAUGGCUGCCUCUGGAGAAAGGCAGCUGCUGAAUAUUCCCGAGAGCUUUCCUUCCAAUGUCCCUCCCUCACAACAAGCCACAUUCACCCCUGUUUUCCCAGGAUGUCCUCCCAGAACUGCAGUCAGGUUUGACCCAGAUUCCUAUGGAGACCUCGCUCUGCCCUGGGACCCAGUGCAUGUGAAAGUCUGUGUGCGCCUUUUAAGAAUGGGGUCCCCGUUUUGCUCAGUCCUGUAGAGCUCCUGUGUACAAGCCCCAAUGACCUUCAAUGCCAAAUGCUCCAGGGGCUCUUUCUCCCAGUGCCAGAUCCCCGCACGUGAGGGUUUGAUGUGAGGCUCAGAACUCUCACUCCUGUAGGUGAGUCUCUGUGAACCAGUUAGUUUUCAGUCUGUGGAGCUUGCCACCCAGGAGGUAUGGGGUUGUUUAUAUUGUGAAAUCGCCCCUCCUACCUCUUGAUGUUGCCUCCUCUUUUUCUUCUGGAGUAGGGUAUCUUUUUUAAGGUUUCCAGUCCAUUUGGGUGGAGAUUGCUCAGCCUUUAGUUGUGUAUUUAAUUGUUUUAGGAGAGAAGUUGCGCUCCAGUCCUUCUAUUCCACCAUCUUAAUCCUCUGCAAAAGUCCUUUUUUCCCUCCAUCAUUUCUUGAUUGGAACAAAAACCAGAUCUUUCUCCUCUGUGUCUCCAGCCCAGGUGCAGUGUGCACAGUAGGAGCUCAAGAAGAAAUAAAAAUGCUGAAUGAAUUGCUUCCCACAAAUAUUAAGUCCUGCUCUAGGCUGGGAAUGAGACUCAUAAAAUCUGUGUCUUUAUGAAGUCAAGCUCAUGUGCAUGAACAUGCAAAUGAACAGUUGGUUGAUCUCUAGAACUCCCUUGCUUGAGUGCUGUGUGAAAUGCUUAGGCAAUAUUCUAGUAAAUAGUUGACAAUCUAAGGCACACACACAGGAAACCAGGAAUGAUGAGACACUUCCAGAUUUCAAAUUGGUAUCAGCUUUAUUUCAGGUACAUCGGAGGAUAUAAGUUUUAAAGAGGCUGAAGAAUGAAGUCACUUUGGGUCAAGGGUAUGUGAUAGAUUGUUGUGGUUACAGCCUCCAAUUUGUUCAUGGCUUCCUUGUAUCCAUGUCUCAGGGCAGUACCCUCUUACAUUGAUUCUGAACUUGACCCUGUGACUUUGGUUAGUGGUAUAAUAGCAAAUGUGAGACACUCAGAGAUGUGAAAAGUGUUUGCACAAUGGGGCUUACCCUCUUUUGUUGCCCAUGAGGCUGCAGCUACCGCCACCAUAUGGAGAAGCUUGGCUGGCCUGUCACAUGAUGAGAGUCACCUGGCUUGGUCACUGUCAUUGCUCUAGACAACUACAGGUCAUCUUCCUGAUACACAAGGUAGGGCAUCCUAGACCAUUCAGCUCCUGCCUGACCAGCCAACUGACCACAGAUGCAUAAGCAAUCCUAGCCAAAAGCAGCCAGUUCUGACCCAGAUCAGCAGCAUCACCAAGCUGACCAAUGAUUUGUCAGCAAUAAAAAAGGCUAUUAUUUGAGGCCAUCAAGUUUUGGGUGGUGUGUUAUGCAGCAAAAGCAAACUGAUGCAAAGUGGCAACCAUCUUCUUCAUUCUAUCUAGUCAGAACAAUGUUUGGGAGAUUGGAUGUUUUACUGGAAGUCCCCAACUAAAUGCAUCCUUGAUAUGGUGUGGGGUGGGGAACAUUUUUUUUUAAAGUAAUUUAUUUCAACCUAGGGAUGUUUGACAUUUUUGGUCUUAGGUUGGUUCACUCACUUGUAGAGGACAGUAGGAAAUAGGAUGAUGGUGAGAAGUGGGUUUGUGUGAUGGUGCAAUGUGGGGAGGGGACAGGGUGAUGUAUGCUGGAAUUGAGACUCAGGAAUACCAACUGAGCAAAGAGCUAAGGAGAGUGGUUCCAGGGAGGAGAGGACCUGCAGUUAGAACCAUCUUGCAAACCUAACCCUCUAACACCUUUUCUGAAGGUCAGGUGUACAUUGUGGUUUGCAAGGUCAUCUCUUGAAAAAAAAUAGUUGAGGAUUCAUUCUAAUGCUCUGAGGUUGUUAAGAAGUUAAUAUAGAAGUACCUAUUAUUUUUAAUUUUUGCCUUUUGUAGUCACAAUACAGGUUUUAUUUCAAUCAUUUGUUUAACAAAUAUUUACUCAUUUCCUAUAGGCAUCAAAUACUGUGAUAUGUGAAAGAGAUACAGAUCUCUCUUUUCUCAAAAUGCUUUCAGUCCAGAAGGGCUGACAGAUAAGUAAAUAGAACAGUAGGGUGAACUAUGUGAUAAAGGAAUAACACCCUGGUUUGGACACCAAGGAGGAAAACCUAGCUCAUUGUACUGGUAAGGGUAGAGGGAAGGCUGGUUUGCCAAGAAUAGGAGCUCUAGGGUUUCUCAUAAUGUAGUAGUUCCUAUUUAUUUAAUAUAGGAUAAUGACUUGAGGAACAAUGAGAUACAAGUCCCCUCUGUACCUUCAGCUUUAUCUCUCACACUUGCUUUCUAUUGAGUUCAAAUGUGUUCUUUUUUUUUUUUUUUUGUCUUUUUGCCAAUUCUUGGGCCGCUCCCGCGGCAUAUGGAGGUUCCCAGGCUAGGGGUCAAAUAGGAGCUGUAGCUGCCAGCCUACGCCAGAGCCACAGCAACGCAGGAUCUGAGCUGCAUCUGCAACUUACACCACAGCUCAUGGCAAUGCCAGAUCCUUAACCCACUGAGCAAGGGCAGAGAUCAAACCUGCAACCUCAUGGUUCCUAGUUGGAUUUGUCAACCACUGCGCCAUGACGGGAACUCCUCAAAUGUGUUCUUGAUGGAAAAGGCCCAGUUAUUCCAAAAUCAAGGCAGCCAGAUACCAUCUGAGGACCAGCCUGAUGAGUUUACAUCUUUACUGGAUGGCUAGAGGGAUGAGGGCUUCUACAGCCUGGCUGUUUGGCCACAUGCUAUAAAAGUCCUUUGUUAAAAAUGUUAGUCAUUUUGGUGGAGCUGUCCAGCUUUGGUACUCUCUUCCUAAAUGCGGGAAAUUUGCCAACUUAUUACAUUUGGCACAGCCUCUCCCAUUUAGAGAAGCUUAAAGACACUAGAUAACUUCGUUAAUUUUGUCAGCUGGGGGGCAGGCACCUAGGGUUGGCCUGUCAGAUGCACCCAUUAAGAAUAAUGCCUAUGGAACUUCUGAUGUAAAGGACCAUUGGCAUAGAGAAUUCCCUUGCUCAGCUGAGGGGCAGUUCCUGUGCCUUUGGUCAGCAGUGUGAGAGAUGCUGCUUUGCCGCUAACUUUGGACUUGGUUUCUGCUGCUUGACCUCCCUUUGUUCUGUUUUCUAAGCCUGGAUCUCUAGGCCUCCAGGCAAUUUGAAGAGCUGCCCAAUAUAUUUCAAUGAUUUUUUUUUUCUUAAACAAGGCAGUUUCUUGCAACCAAAGACACUGAUAUGCUCCAUUAUUGUAAUUUCAAAGGAGAGAUUGGGGAGGAGACUUAUCAAAGCAGCCUGGCUAAUCGUAUUGGUUGAGGUUUCAUUGCUGAGAACAGAAUGUACCCUAGCAGAAAGGGAUUUCAGACAGGGAAUUAAUUGACUCAUAAUCAUUGGGAGAGUUGAAGAAAUAGAUCUAGGUUGAGCUUUAUGAAAACUCCCUCACUUCUUCACUUAUUUAUUUGUUAUUGUUUACUCUCUCUCUCCUCUAUUAGAAUGUAAACCCCCAAGAAGGCAACAAUCUUUGUUUUAUUCCCUUAUGUACUCCAAGCACCAAAACAGUCUGCUAUAUUGUAGGUAUUCAAUAGUACUUUAAUAAUACAAGGUGCAUAAGGAGAACUUUUGAAAGAGAGAAACCAGAAAAAAAAAUUUUUUUAGCCUAUCUGCAAGAGACCAUAAGUGAUAGGUAACUUUUCUGAGUUGGGAGAUAUUUGGUCAUAUGUCAGAGGACUUGUAGGAAUACAGCUGGAUUGGACCUUAUUGCCCACUAAAAGAAGCUAUUUUUUUCCUAAAAGGAUGAAUCAAUACAUUUAUAUUUAAUGUGUAUAAUUUAGGCCAUCUCUCAUGCAGAGGGUGGCAUGAGUAAUGUGUCCCUUUGAUUUCUCUUACUCGAAAAUUUUGAUUAGGGGUUUUAUAAAUAGAGUAAAUUCCAGAAUUAGGGAACUUGAGAUAAGACUGGGUUGACUUAAAAAAUGGGAAUAAUUUGGACUAGGUAAGCCUCAGAAAUAUACUGAAAUCUAUUUAUGAUGAUGAAUUACUUAUAGGUUCUAGGGAAGAGUUUGAUAGGUUUUACAGGUAGAGAAACCAGAGGAAAAAUGUUGUGACAAUCUGGGCUUCACAUAAAAUCCCAAUUUAAGCCAAUUUUAAAAGCUUGACCUCUAAAUUACUACUUUGAUUUUAAUUUUGAGGGAUAUACAACAUGGACUUACUCUUGAUAUGCUCUGUUAUCUCCUUUAAUUCUGAUUAUCGAUGCUUUUGCAUGACUGCAUAUACUUUUUGUUUUGUUAGUGUCCUAACAAAGUGAUUAGGUCUAUGGGAACAGGAGAACCAGGACUUAUUUUAGCAUGUUGUGUGUGCUGUACAAACUCACUGUUGUUUUGGAAAAGUUGAUAAAAGAAGAGCAGGAAUUUCUGCGUCAGCAGUGAACCAGCCAGGUUCUUUGCUUGCUUGCUUCUCCCUACCCCUUCCCUCCCUUCUUUCCCUUCUUACUUCCCCACUUCUCUCUUUCUUUUAUUCUUAGUUCUAUUCUUUUUCUAUAUUUAAAAGCCAUAUAUGAGAGUAGACCAGAAUAUCUCAAAAUCCAAUUAAAUUCAUUCAUGAAAAAUUCCAUUAAAAGAACAUUAAAAAAUCUACUCUAAUUCAAUAGGAGCCAGGGAACUUGGAACAAAUCUGAUUCUUCUGCUUUUAAUCACUAAAUUUUUAUUGAUAGACUUUACGACAAUAAUCUCUUAUUUAGAUAACCACAUUUAUACUCCCAAUAAAUCCCAAUCCACUGUCGAAGUAAAAAGAAAAACAAAGUGCCUCAAAGUUCUCAUCAGUUUCACAGGACCCUGCUGAAACAAAUGAUAGAGCCAGAAUAGUUAUAAAAAUUAAUUGCAUAAUUAAUUAAUUGUGCCCAUGUUAGUAAGUUGUCUACUUACUAUGCAGCUUUAGUUUAAAAAUGGUCUAUUUUGGGAGUUCCUGUCGUGGCGCAGUGGUUAACGAAUCCGACUAGGAACCAUGAGGUUGCGGGUUCGGUCCCUGCCCUUGCUCAGUGGGUUAACGAUCCGGCGUUGCCGUGAGCUGUGGUGUAGGUUGCAGACUCGGCUCGGAUCUCGCGUUGCUGUGGCUCUGGCGAAGGCCGGUGGCUACAGCUCCGAUUCAACCCCUAGCCUGGGAACCUCCAUAUGCCGUGGGAGCGGCCCAAGAAAUAGCAACAACAACAACAACAACAACAAA